GAUGAACGCUGGCGGCGUGGAUAAGGCAUGCAAGUCGAACGAAGUCUUCGGACUUAGUGGCGGACGGGUGAGUAACACGUGGGAACGUGCCUUUAGGUUCGGAAUAACUCAGGGAAACUUGUGCUAAUACCGAAUGUGCCCUUCGGGGGAAAGAUUUAUCGCCUUUAGAGCGGCCCGCGUCUGAUUAGCUAGUUGGUGAGGUAAAGGCUCACCAAGGCGACGAUCAGUAGCUGGUCUGAGAGGAUGAUCAGCCACAUUGGGACUGAGACACGGCCCAAACUCCUACGGGAGGCAGCAGUGGGGAAUCUUGCGCAAUGGGCGAAAGCCUGACGCAGCCAUGCCGCGUGAAUGAUGAAGGUCUUAGGAUUGUAAAAUUCUUUCACCGGGGACGAUAAUGACGGUACCCGGAGAAGAAGCCCCGGCUAACUUCGUGCCAGCCGCCGCCGUAA
rnacentral:rRNA from 1 species